AUCCGUUUCAAUAUGGCGGCUGAUGAUUCGGAUACAGAGCCGAUGGAUUUUCAAGAAGAGGAACUUGCUUCUUCGAGUUCCAGCAUAGCAGACACCAAGUUUGAUAUAACAAUAGGACACAUAGAAGACAUUAUAAUGGAAGAUGAAUUCCAGGAUCUACAACAAAAAUUCCUUGAAAAAUAUUACAAAGAAUUUGAUGAUAGCGAAGAGAAUAAAUUCAUAUACACAGAUAUCCAUCAAGAAUAUAUCAAUCUGGUAGAAAAAUUUAUUGAAGAAGAACUUACUAGGCGAAUGCAAGGUUUUUGCAUGAGUGAAUUCUCUAAGCAAUUAGUUAAAAGGAAAGAAGAAUUAGAAGGUGAAAUAUUUGAGAUGUUACUGACUUUUAGCGAUUUCAUGGCCUUUAAAGAAAUGUUUCUAGACUACAGAGCAAGUCAAGAAGGGACAACAAUAGAUCUCAGCGAAGGUCUGGUUAUAACUCCCCUAGCCAAAACUGUAGGUGGCAGCUCUUGUGAAGACACUCCGCUAGAACCACCUCCAAAGAAAAGAAAUUCACCAAGAAAGGAAAACUCUAAGAAAUGAGCUCAAACAUCAACUGUGACAAAAGAAUGUACUUAACUUACUCAGAGUAAAGAGGACUGAAACAAGGAUAUUAUCUUUAAAUCCUUGAAGUCAGUUUGGAGGAGAUAGUAAAAAAAACAGGUUUUUAAAGUAGGAAGAGAUCAGUCAAUGUUUCUUCCAUAAGUGGGAAUAUAGUUGACAGGGUACAAAGGUCCUAUGCAUGUUAAAAUGUUCCAUCCAGGAUCAAAAGCAGUUAGUGCCAGAUUACCCGUUCAAGUGGAGAGAUGAGUAUGAAACAACAGAACUGUAUGAUUUUCUAUUUUUUAUCCUCUUGUAAGACUAGCUGUAAUCCAAAAGUGCUGCAGCAAGUGGUUUCAUGUGAAUGGAGCCCUGGGGAUUUUUUCAUUAUUUUUAAGCUGCAUCUUAUUUGAUAAAAUGAAAGUGAGUGUUAGGCUCUACAUGUAUUCAUCUUCUAAUGGGUCUAGUUUGUACAAAACUUCCUUGAAAGGAAAAGAAACUUGAACAUAUUUCCGAAGCAAAAAAAUUUGAUUCACAUCAAACAGUGCAAUUUAUGAUCAAGACCUUGUGUGGCAGCGACAUUCUAGAAAGAUCUGUUAUUUCUGAUUAUAAAUUAUUUAUUUAAUGAAUGAACUGCAAAACCACUGCUUCCCAUUUUCCUUUUGCUCACUUUGUGUUGUCUCUGUCGUGUUCAGAAUUGUUAUGUAUGUAGUCAAAUCUGGUUAUUUUCUUAAUAUUAGAAUUUGUUGAAAACUGUCUAAAAGGAAAGAUAUAUAUUUUUUCCAUUCAUAGAUUUAUUAAACACAUUAUUUCAUGUAAUUAACACUUAGAAAUUACAUAUAUAAAAAAUAUUAAUGGAGCUGCACAUUAACUGCAUUUAUUCUUCUGGAAAAAAAGAAGUGAGUUUUUUUUUUGAUUAAUCAGAGGGUAUAUAUGAACACCUUUGCAAAACUCAAUCCCCAAAUUUAUCAAAGAGUAUAACACACUUAAGAUUUUAGAUGAGUAAGAAUACUUGCACCAGCCCAUAUUUGAAACAAUGCUAGACUUUUCUUUUGGUAAGGUCAUGUAGGUUUCUCCAUGAAUAUAUUUGUAUCAAAUUUUAUUUCUGCCGUGGAUGCUUUUUCCAACGUCCAUAUUUGUUUUACUUUUGUUACUAUUACCGUCCUGAUUCUUAAAAUUCUACUUGAGUUUUUCAUCAGUAGGAGUGUUGUGUUUAGAAGCCGUCCUAAUGCCAAUGAACAUUUGUAGCAUCGAUUUUUGAAAAGUUAAAUAGUAAUUCCUUUUUUUGUGUAGUUUUGAUGUACAAUAUUUUUGUUAGAUUGGAUGUGUUUUAUAAGAAGCAUGUGUUUUUUUUUCAUAACAUUUUUGUACUCAUGCAACAACUAGUCACACUUAUUUCUGUUUUCAUUGUGGGUGCCCAAAUGGAUUUGUCGAAAACCAUUCCACUUCCAAAAAGAUGAAAUGAUGUAUUUUCAGGUUGCUUUGUGAUUUUGAAAGUUUUGUGAAAUUAAACCAUUUAAGGGUGUGUAUGUGCAGUUUUCUCUGUUUUUCAUACAACCUGUUGUAAAACCUGAAACAACUGCAACUGCAAUGCAGUAACUUUAAAUUGCAUAUAGGUUUAACUCACUUUUGCAAUAUUGGUAUGAUAUUUUAAAACCUUCUUUUUCUUCUUUAUUCAUGUGGCUGAUAAUUACUGAAUAUGUAUGGGAGUGGAAGAAUUUGGAAGAAUUUGUGUGAAAUAAAAGCAUUCCAAGUUUA
rnacentral:misc_RNA from 1 species